AACGCACCUUGCGCCCUUUGGCUAUUCCGAAGGGCAUGCCUGUUUGAGUAUCAUGAACACCUCAACUCUCAUGGUUUGCCAUGAUGAGCUUGGACUUUGGGGGUCUUGCUGGCCUACGGUCGGCUCCUCUCAAAUGAAUCAGCUUACCAGUGUUUGGUGGCGUCACAGGUGUGAUAACUAUCUACGCUUGCGGCUUUCCAUCAGGCAACCUUCAGUGAUGGAGGUUCGCUGGGGGCUCAUAAAUGUCUCUCUUCUGGAGGACAGCUUUUGAACGUUUGAUCUCAAAUCAGGUAGGACUACCCGCUGAACUUAA
rnacentral:misc_RNA from 1 species